AUGAAUCCAGCUUGUGUCAAAUUGGCAAAUGCUACCCAGAACAGCACCCUAAUCCUGCAGAGUUGGGUUGCUUAUUCUCAGCCGCAUCCCUGAGCAUCCCUGCUUUUAUUUCUUAUCAUUGCCUGAUUCUAUGUUCAAAAUGCCUCCAAAGUGCCAACCUGGGACUGUGCAGGUGCCACAAACUCCUCAUAGUUUGAUCUCUGUGCCUAUCAAUUUUUGCAAUGCUGGAAUGGGAGCCAAGUCGAGAACACAUUAGUCUAGCAUUCUACCUGAGCACUGAGCUAGACCCAUAGCACUUACCAUUUUUAUUUAAGGGAAGGAUUCUUGGAACAGUAGAAUAGAAAUCUCUACUGGUACUCCCACCACAUGCAUGGUGUCUUCUCCUAUGACUUUUGCCCAUUUUAUGUGAAACAAAGACCACAGCCUAGGCUUUAUUCAGGAAGGAAAGCAGAAACCAAAAGCCUUCCCCAGGAUGGAGAAUUCUCAGGAGGAAGAGCACACAGGUGUGGGUCCAGCCCAUCAGGGAGUAGGUUUGUUCACAUACAGAGUUGGCCGGAACCAGCCACCCACUGCUCUUGGCUUUCAAAGGGAACAGUGUGUGCCUGGCAUCCAGAUGCCCCCUGUGAACAGCGAAGAGGCACUGAUGGAUGGCUGUGCCACAAUGAGAAAUGGAUCAAUGUAUCAUCUCACCCAGUAUUGGCAUUCUCACUGAGAAAGGAGGCACAGCAGAGGUCUUACGCAUGGAUUCCAGCUUUGCCUGUUGGGAGGACCUUCCCUCAUAGAUAAUAGGAUUGCAGCCUCACCUCUCUUGGAGUCCCUUCCUAUCAUAGCAUGUGGAUGGGGGUGGUGUGGGCAUCUUCCCCAGAAGGCCUCAGUUGAGAUCAAAGAGACCUUGCGUAUCCAUUUGAGCCUACUGCUGUGGCAACGACUUGCUGGGAUUCACGUAGUAAUGUGUGAGGCUCUGACAGCACUGAGAUCUGCCUUUAUAGUCUUUAGGUUUGUUUUCCUGAAUGAAUAGGUUGACCAGUGCCCAAAAGCAGAGCUCAUGCAACAUUCCACUGCUGCUGGGUUCAGCUCAAAGCAGACCCCACACCACUGGCUAAUGGAAGACUGUGCUGCAGAGGUGGUAGAGAGCCCUGCCUAGAAAGACUGAAGUCUUGAGAGUUCCUAUUGUUCUUGGGGUUCUCAGAAGAACCAAAUGCCCCUGAACUCACCUUGGCUCCUGUUUCCAAGUCUCACUGGAACCCAGGAACUCAGGUCCCUCAAGCCUGUAGCACUAACUGUGCCUGUCUGCAUCCCUACUUGCGAUACUCUUCUGCCUGCAGGUCCAUUCACUCACUACCACAAAUACCCACAUCCUGAACAUAGCCGGUGAACCUUGUCUUGCUUUCUGCCUGUGGGUGGAGCUGGCUUCCCACAGCUGCCUCCAUCAGUCAGCUCAGCACGGACAGCCAGCGGGUGCUCCUCUAAUCAGAGCCACAAAACUUCUCCCUCUUACUUGGCUUCCCAUGACAUGCAGCUCACCAGAAGCUGGGUUACAUGUGUCUAGUGGCUAUACCUCCCCCAACCUCCAUCUCACCCCAUCGGUCCAUCUGCUUUAUGUCAAGUACUAUGCUGGCAGUGGGAUGAAGGGAGGCUGGAGUCAUUGGAAGCAUCCUCCUGGAGCCACGUCUUGUGGACAACAGACCUGGGAUCAGCAAAUGGAGAAUGCCUUCUUUCCAGCCAUAUAAAGGAUACACUUCAGAGAAGGGCCUUACAGAAGGGCUUUCUUGUUUAUCUUUCAGGGCCUGUGACAGGGUACCCUCACACAGCUGCUGGCCUAACUAGACCUACUGGGGAACAGAAAGUAGAGUUUCUCAGUAGCAGGGGUAGCUUUUGAGUUAGGCUGCGCCAUGCACAUGAGGCCUAGAAAGACACCGUAGAGCACAGGGAUCCCAUUGGAGCUUUCGGUGAGGACCAUGACAAUGACAAAGGAUUCCGAGCUUGAAGGAUGUAAAAUUCAAGAAUCUAUGCAGGAUCUAACUGGAAGAAGCAUCUUUUAGUCCCAUCUGCACCUUCUGGGAGUGCUGCCUCCCCGGCUGCAUGGGGUCCUUGGCCAUGCUGGUCACUCUGGUAGGCUUGCCCAUUCUUUCUACCAUGUCCUAGGGACCUCCUAUUCUGUCUCUGUGCAUAGAUGUGCAGAAGGUCCCUGGGACUUGAACAAACUUCCCCUUCAUCAGCUAGUUACCUUCCCAGAGCUCCAUCUCUCAUACCAUAACGAGACAGAAACAUGAGUUCCUGAGGUACACAGACCGAACAUUAUGUCUCCCCUGCCUCUCACCAGCAAUAGUUGUCCCUGACUCCUCUCCUGAGUUCUUCACCAUGGUUCUUCCUUCUAGGUGACCCAAGAGCUGGUAUUGAAUAAGGCUCAUUUUAUUAGGGACCAACACCACCAACCAAAAACCAUAUCGCACCAGAGAAGGGAGUAUGACGUCACAUGGUAAGUGGCUACGAGUGAUGCCUCUGAGAAUGGCAGGCUUCACAGUGGGGGAGAUAAAGGGAGGUAUUUUGCUUAGGGGAUGCAAGCAGUGGGGCUAUAGAAUGUGAAAUAUUAGUAUUUUUUGUUGUUGCUGUUGUCCUUGUAUAAUUGAUCUUUUAUACCCAAUGUGAUGAGACUGGAUAGACUUUACUUUGUGGCCAGUUAGCCCAUUGACGUGGUACAAAGAUGGUUUUGAGCCACGUGUCUGCAGUCAUUCUGGUUGGUGAGAUACCUGAUGUUAGAGUAGUAGGUCAGAUUCAAAGCCCAAGUAGUACAGUGUUAUCAUGACUGAUGGGAAUGUGUUUUGCAUAGACCCUUGGCAAAUGCUGCCAUGCAGGAUAAGCUUCUCCAUUGUCGGAGGUGAUUAGUCAUGGCUUCACUGUAGCGCAUGUUUAUCUCUCUGUAUGCUGAUUUGGACAAUGGUGGCGUCAGUGUCCCUGCAUGUCUCCAGCUUCUCUAACUGCUGUGGUUUCAGGUUGACCACACAUUUGGUAUGCAGAUGUACAUGAGUAGCCUCUGCCACUGCUUGCACACCUUUGACUGGGCAGGAGAAGACCAUGAGCUCAGGUCUCCUGUCUGCAUCCAGCCCCACACCUGAGCAGCCCUAGGAUGUGAUCUUGCACAGAGGAAGCCAGGUUUAACACAUCACAGGAAGAUGACUGGAGUUCAAGUGGUCCUCUAGUCCUUUGAUGCUGCCUGGCCAAGGCUGUGCCCGGUCUGUGCCUUCUUUUUUCCCAUCAUGAGGGUCAUCCCUGCUCUCACCUGACACCACACCAUACACUCGCUGUAUCCCCUGUAUCUGGCCUCCUUGUAGACUCCUGCCCAACGGUUGAUUCAGCACUGGCCUUUGCUCCCAGGUGAGCAGCCCAUGCUAGUGCCCAAGUCUGAGCUGAUUUCAUUGAGCCUAUGGGGUGCCAGUGUAUGGUGGUUCUGGUCUUGGCACUUUGGGUGUGUGUGUAUGUGCCAUUGAUGGGUUGGUGAGAAGCCUUCCAUCGAUUGGCAGAGGGAGACCAAUAGGAUUCUACUCCUAACAUCACUGUCUUUCUGUGUGAGCACUGGGUCACAAGUGCUGGUGGUGCCAUGUAUCUGAGAGAUGAAGCCAGGCAGCAGUGAACAAGUGUGUCCACAGGAAGAUGAUAGAUCCAAGUGCAGUGCCAUGAGCUGGUGUGGCUUGCAGGCUAUAGAAAUCAACAAAUGCCACAUCCAUCAAGUGACUCUAUAGUAGUCAUCAUGUGAGGGUUCUUUAUAACAAACUUCAUGUGGAAGGCUUCAUUAUCCCCACCUUACAGAUGGGAAUACCGAGGCUCAGUGAUGUACUCAGUGUCACAAAAGCAUUAGCAGCAAUCAGGACUCACACAUUCUCUUUUGGCUCACUUAUGCGCUCUUCCUACUUUAUUUCUGUUUGACCCACAGAGACAAAAAUGGGCAGUCUUCAUAAGCAGCAGCAGUUCAUGCUAAUCAUGAAUGCCAACUUGACAUGCUUGGGAAGAGGGACCCUCGCUUAAUGAUUGCCUCUGUCAGAUUGGUUCAUGAGUGUGUCUGUGGGGCAUUUUCUUGAUUGUUGAUUGACACAGGACCAUCCAGCUUACCCUGGGUGUCACCCCUAGGCAGGUGAGCCUAGAAGCAAGCCAGUAAGCAGUGUUUCUCUAUGGUUUUGGCUCCACGUUCUUGCCUUAUGCAGACCAGGAAGCAUGAAAGAGCUUGCUUUUACAGCAAAGCUCUUCCUUGCCCCAAAUCUAACCUAUUUUCCCUCAGUUGAGCUCAGAGCCCUCAGGAUCCAGUCACCUCCCCAAAGCCCCACCUGUGCCCCCUGAUGAACUGGGAAUCCAGCCUAUAACAGGGGAGUUCUUAGAGGACAAACAUUUCAGAGCCAAAUCCUAAGAGAAGCCCCAGAGAAUUGUGGGAACUCAUGGGAUUCUGUCUGGGAACAUAACAAAAUGGCCUCCGAUGCUGAGAAAUCUUGAAGCCUCAUUCGUUGGGAUAUGCAUUCCAUGGCAGAGAAACUUGCCACUUCUUCCUCUCUGGAGAAAUAGCGUUUUGGUACUCUGGAGCUGGUGUUUGAAGCCCCACCUUCCAAGUGGGAGGAGCAACUGGGUAGGUGGAGGAAGGGUAGGAGCACUAGCUAGGGUACAACAAGGGUAGCAGCAGGUGAGGAAGAGCUGGUUUGUUUUUCCCAAAGACUUCUCUCUGACUCUGCCAUGGGAAGACAAGGGUGGGCUUUGUGACAUCCAAGGUCAUUGUGGGGAUGGUUAUGAUCACCCUGACAGCAUUUGAGCACCUACCCAACUCUAGGGAUUUGAAAGUAUCUUCAGUGGCCUGUUGUCUACCCCACAGCAGUGAGAGGCUGGCCUAAGCCUGCUCUCUGCUUCCACCUAGUAUCAAGUAGUCCAUCAAUGGGGCAGUGAGUUUUAUAGGUCUUUACUAUAAGCCUCCUCUCUGGUAAAUACAAAACUCAAGGAAAACAACAAGUGUUUGGACUUUGCUGAGGACACAGUUAAUAUUUGCAUCAGAGGACCAUCAACACAUGGAAAAGGUGCUAAUCCAGGCAGUCCACCUGAGUACAGAGGAGGAGGAGCGCUGAAUGACUGAAAACUGCCUCUUCUUACUACAAGCAGAAUGUCCUUCCUUGACUGCGUUCUUCCGCCUGGGCAGGAUGCCUGUCUUGAAGAGUCCUUUAAUUUAUCAGUGAAGGUUCUAUUCUUGGAGCUUUAUUUCAGAUGAAGACUUGCUGCCUUAGCCAUCUCUGUGGAAAUGGGGCCAAGAAGACCUGUGGACAGCAGCGCCUAAUGCAUCUUUGGGAAUGCUUCAUCUGCCCAACAUUGUGGAACAAGAGGACGUGCUAUACAGAAGACUUUCUCAAAUAGCUAGCAUUUGCCAACUUGAGCUGCAAAGCACAGAUACACAAGCCAAUUCUGAUAGACUCAGAAAUACUUGCAAGCAUUUCUAAGGGUCUCAGAACUGUUGACAUUUCUUUCUCACUGGACCAAGGACUCUACCGACACCAAGUACCAGAUGCAGAACUGAAGCCCUAGGCUGUACCUGUAGGUCAUGGAGGAGCACCUGCUCGAACUGUUCACUAAGAGUCAACAAAGAUGAGAGCCAUCUAGAACAUUCCUCACAAGGUCUGAGGGAAUAGUUGAGGCCAUCUGGCAUGUGUCCUUGCUCAUGAAGAUAUAUGAGAAUGACAGAGGCCAGGCCUGAGGAAGAUGGUGGAUGCUAGAGAGAGUGGACAGCAACUGGAUGGAAAGUGGAAGACUGAUGUGCAACCCUGAGUCCUAAUCAGCUGGCUCAGAGCCCCUGUGAGCAGACAUUGUGCUAUAAAGAACCCUAAUCUAUUGCAGGAUUUCACAGAAACAGAACAAUGGCUGUCACAUGCUGUUGAGGGAGCACAGCAUCCUCUCUUCAAGAUCAGAAGACUGUAGCAGGGAAGCACUGUGGGUACCUCCUGCACACUGUGACAUCAAGGUCGCUGUGAUCCAGGAACAUUGUGGUGACAGUGACAUGCUCAAGGUCGCUGAGCCCAGUGUGAGGCUAGGAGGAAAGCCCCCUCCUUCCUGGGGAGCAACGCUCAUGAAAGGCGUGCAUUUUGCUCUUAGAUUUUAAAGCUCCCUUUACCUGCUGUGACACGUACUCAUGGGCCAGGAAGAGCUCUGUGUUUCUAGCCGUUUCCACGCUGUGACAUCGGGACGUGCCCACCUUGCUAAUUGGGGAGGAUUAAAUGGAGCAGCGAUCACAGAGCCUGCAGCAGCACUCUCUUCCAGAGCAGGAGCUGACAGCAGCCUUCCUCUUCCUGCAGGCAUGGCCCCGCAGAGCCUGCCUCCCUCACAAAGGCAAGAGGCCACACUGCUGAGGAAUGGUGUCUUCCCACCUGCAGAUUUCUGCUUCUCCCAGCCCUGAAUAGCUCAAGUAGGCUGUGACCUCGGCAAGCACCCUUGAGAGAGUCUCGAGGCGCCUUGAGAAAUUGCACAAGAGGCGCUCUGCAUCUGGGCUGGAUCUAUUAUUCAUGCAAGCAUGUUUCAGCUAGCUGGGUAAUUUAGAGUCUCUCAGAGAGUGCUCUCUGCAGCAGCCAUAAACCACGUUCCCAGUGCUCCAGGGGAAAAUUACCUUUCCAUUGCUCCAGCUAGGGGUCAUAUCAGAGACUUCACCCAGGGAAGUGAGGGCUGAGGAGGGGCUGAGACAGUCCAAGGCUCAAGGGCCCUCCAGAGCCUUCACUCGGGACAUCUCCACCUGUCACUUCCCAGAUGACCUCUGGAGCUUCAGCCCUCUCACUGCGAAAUGAAUGCUGACUGCAGAUGCCUGGCAGCUAGGCUGGUGCAGGAGCAGCCCAGCCCCCACCCCUCCACUCUGAGCUGCAACUGAUCUGCUGCCUCUGGCAUCAGCUCCACAGGGGUCGUGAACGCCUGUCUUCCUGACUAGGAACCCAGGACGCUGGAGGCACGGGGCGCAGCACACGGAAGCAGGCAUUCACUGUGUGCACGUUUUCCUUAUCUCCAUAAAGCUGCAGUCUUUGCUGUCUUCCCAAAUGACACUAAAUACAGAUGCACAGGUUCUCCCACCCCGCCCCCCUCCCAGAACACCAACAGGAACACACGCCACUCACACAUACUAAGGAGGAGGGAUGCAUGCAAAGAGCAUCAACAUCCGUUUUCAGACACUAGACACAGGAUGAGAACCCGAGGCCAGGGCUGGCUACAGACAUUAUUUUUAGCCGUGAGACUGUAGCACAUGUGGUGUGGCUGCUUCCCCCUCUACUGCAGAGACACUCUCAAUUCAUCCCACAAAGUCUGGCUGUUCUACAGGGCAGCAUCUCCACCAACCCCACCCAGCAGACAUGCUGCUAGGCAGGAGUCUGGUGAGGCUUCAGGGUCCCUGGGUCCGGGGAAGUCCCUGCCCGGCAUACCGCUCGCAUGACUUGGGCUCUCCAGGGUAUUCCUCAUUCGGUAGGCCUAGCUGCUUGCAUUUCAUCCUCUUCCUCAGAGCCCAGAUGUGACACUUCCUCAGGCUCUCCUGUGCUCAUGGUUGUCGGCUGGUGACAAGGGCAUCUGUGCGGAUGCAGACCCCGAGGUGAGAGGAAAGAUGGCUGUGAGCUGAACACCUGCAGUCCCAGUGGGCCAGCGCCGCCACCUUAGGUGUCAAGUGGAGUUGGGGAUGUGACUCAUAGGCUGACAUGGAGUUGGGCUCUUGCUGAGUUCCUGCCAGAUUCGUGGCCCCCAAAUCAUAGUCCUGUCACUGUGGGGAAUGGUGAUGUUCCCCUGGGGGUGGGGGGAGCAGAGUGACAACCCAAACCUCAUCCUUUAAUUUCCCAGGGCCUUUGUUUUCUCUAUCUCC
rnacentral:sRNA from 1 species